CGAUCGAGCUCAACGUUCUUCAGGCAGAAUAAAAAUAUAAUUAUAAAGCGUGUUUCCAGCUGGGCGCUUUGCUAUUCAGCGAUCUGUCUGUCUCUCUUCCUUGGCCAUACUAACCACAGAUCUAGCAUCGUUUUCAAGGAUCGAGUGUCGCUUUCACGCUCUCACUCCUUUUUCUCUGAGUCGAAUCAGAAGUUAGGGCUUUCAACGAAAUCAGACCGCGUUAAGAUGGUUUUUUUUCCCGUCCUUUUUAAGGCAGACUGGACAGAUGAGAUGCGAUUUGCUCUGAUGUCAUUUCCAUGGUUUCACAAUCGAGAGGACGAUAAUGAGUCCAAUAACCAGGAGCAAUAUGAUGGCAAUCAUCAUGCACUUUCUUGACUUCUUCUGCAAACUCUUUGCAGUUUGGAGAGCUUCUGUACCCGAUCGCAGAUGGUCCACUGUAUUUGUCACCUGUUCCCAAGAGUAGCAGCAAUCAUUGGAUUGAUUUACAGCAUAACAACUACAAUGCAGCAUUAUCAAGAAAUCGAGGAUUUUGAAUUUA